UACGAAGGGGGCUAGCGUUGUUCGGAAUUACUGGGCGUAAAGCGCGCGCAGGCGGCUAUCCAAGUCAGUGGUGAAAGCCCGGAGCUCAACUCCGGAACUGCCAUUGAAACUGUUUAGCUUGAGGAUGAGAGAGGUGAGUGGAAUUCCCAGUGUAGAGGUGAAAUUCGUAGAUAUUGGGAAGAACACCGGUGGCGAAGGCGGCUCACUGGCUCAUUACUGACGCUCAGGCGCGAUAGCGUGGGGGUCAAACAGG
rnacentral:rRNA from 1 species